rnacentral:rRNA from 1 species
GAUGAACGCUGGCGGCGUGCUUAACACAUGCAAGUCGAACGGAAAGGCCCUGAUUUUGUGGGGUGCUCGAGUGGCGAACGCGUGAGUAAAACGUGUGUAACCUGCCCUUAUCUUUGGGGUAACAUCAGGUAACUGGGGCUAAUAUCGGAUAGGAUAUCCUGCUGCGUGGGGGGGGUUGGAAAGUUUCGGCGGUUGGGGAUGGACUCGCGGCUUAUCAGCUUGUUGGUGGGGUAGUGGAUUACCAAGGCUUAGAAGGAUAGCCGGCCUGGGAGCUUGACCGGCCUCAAGGGUCCUACGGUAGGGAGCAGACGGGUAUGUGAGGCAAUAGUGGGGAGUAUUGCACAAUGAGCCGGAGCCGGAGACAGCAGCGCUGCGUUCGGAAUGACGUCUUUCGGGGUGUAAACCGCUUUCGCCUGUGACGAAGCGGUAUUGACGGUAAUGGGUAAAGAAGCACCGGCUAACUACGUG